AGAGCAUCUUAAACAGGUCGUGGCCUCUGUGCAGUAGGCCAGGAUUUGGUAGCUGGUGCUUAAAACAAUUCUCUCUUGCAACACUCCCACAAACAAACUCUUGGGUUUUCUGGGGCUUUAAUGAGAGCGAUACAA
rnacentral:snoRNA from 1 species